UACUAAAACCAUUCAUUUCACCACAAGUAGCACUUUAGGAAGAGACUGGGAAGAGAUAUGGGUCCCAAGGGUAUUUAUGGAGGUUUAUGCACCCCCUUCCUCCACUGACUCUAUCUAAAUAGUCAUGUUGCCCACGAGCUUCCUGAGAAUAAAAUUUUAAGAUUUAGAUCCUCAGACCAGGGGUAAAAACUUUAUUAGACCACCUCACUCAACUAGAGAUAAUGUCUAUGAACAUGCCUGCAUAAUAUUUAUUUUUCAAAUUGAUUUUGCUAAUUUUUCAAGUCAUUUCUCACCUAGAAAUUACAUGUGUAGUUCAUAAUCAUCAGGAAAUAGGAGGAAACAUCAUAAAAUGGGAGGAAAAUUACAUUUAUGCUCAGAAAUCCUGGCUUUAACACCUAAAUCGUGCAUAUCUUGAUAAUUAUGAUAUCCUGAGCAAGUGAUUUAAUCUUUAUGUUCAUAAAGUUAUUCUCUAUAACUCUAAAAAAUGGGAGAUAGUAAUAGCUUUCCAAUGUAUCAUAAACUUUUGCCUAUACCAAAUGAACAAGUGAAAUCACCAUGUUAUAUGUAAUUGGCUACACAAACAUUUAAACAUCCUUAUUGAGCUCCUUAUUUAUUAUUCACUGCAUUUUUUCCACAGAGGUAUUCACCUCUAGUUUUACUUUCCAAGAAUUAAUAUGAAGAGAAAACAUAGAUGCCUUAUAAGGAGGAUGAAAGAAAUCUGUAGAAAUAAUAGAAAAAUUAACUGAAAAUUUUGAAUGCUACCGUUUUGGCUUGAUUUGGCUUGAGGAGUUAGAAAUAGCAUAGAAUCAGGGGGCCUGACUGUACACAUGUCAGCUUAUAACAUAAACACUUGAAUAAAUGUGAAAUGAAGACAAAAGGUCUUAGUUGACAAAGCAGGGUGGCUGGUGGCAUUUCCUUUAUUUGUUUUGUUUUAUUUUGCUGGAAGAAGAAACUCCAGUGAAUCACUCUGUUUGAAGAACAUCCUUUGUUCACAUAGUCACUUACUUGUUCAAGAUUUUUAUUUUUUUCUUUUUACCUUAUAUUUAUUUAUUUUCUAUGUACAGCAAGGUGACCCAGUUACACAUACAUGUAUACAUUCUUUUUUCUCACAUUAUCCUGCUCCAUCAUAAGUGACUAGACAGUUCCCAGUGCUACAUUUGUUCAAGAUUUUUAAAUUUCCCCAUUUAUUUAAAAUAAACUUAAUCCAUGUUACAGGUCUGUGUCGGAAGAAAGCAGCAGCAGCAGCAAGUUGUCCCCUACCGUAAGGUGAGUAUAAAACAAGUGAUUAACCAUUUUACAUCGUACAUGCAGAUCACUGUUUAAGGAGUACCUAAGAAUUGUUAAUUUGUGAACAAUUUCUUCUGAAUAUUCUUUAUGGAUCUCACUGUAGGUUAUUUUGUAAUAUGAAACAAUAAAACUUGGUUUCAUCAUAGCUCAACCUCUCCUCCCUGACCUACACCAAAGAAGUGAUUUUUGUGCUCCCAUACUAGCACUUAUGAGCACGUAAAUUUUAGGAUUCUUUUUUUUUUCCCUUGAAGAUUGGGAAGGAGCAUUUAUAUCUUUGUUUUUUGUUUGUUUUUUGUUUUUGUUUGUUUUGGGUUUUUUUUUUUUUUUUGUCUUUUUGCCUUUUCUAAGGCCACUCCUGUGGCAAAUGGAGGUUCCCAGGCUAGGGGUCUAAUCGGAGCUGUAGAUGCCAGCCUACUCCAGAGCCACAGCAACACAGGAUCCGAGCCGCGUCUGCCACCUACACCACAGCUCACAGCAACUCGGGAUCCUUAACCCACUGAGCAAGGCCAGGGGUCGAACCUGCAACCUCAUGGUUCCCAGUCAGAUUUGUUAACCACUGUGCCACCACGGGAACUCCAGGAGUACUUAUAUCUUGAUGACAUUUUACAGUCACAUAAAAAGAAGACUGAUAUUAUAAAGAUGUCGGAUGUGCUUAUAGUUAUACUGGUAUCUCAGAAGAAAUUACUAUUAAUAAGAUAGAGCCUUGGAGUUUUGAUUCAUUUUAUUGUCUUAAUUAAUAUGGGAAAGUAAAUUUAGAAAUUUAGGUUAUGGAAUAAUCCAGUACAACAUUUUAUAAAAUUAGCUAUUCCCUCUGUAUUAUCGGUAUGUAAAAAGAGAAUAUAUAUAUAUACAUAUAUAUAUUUUUUCCUAUAGCAUCCAAGAUUCUUUUUCAGGUUCUCUCUUUGUCCUUGCUGUAAAAAGUUGCACCGUAAACAUCCAUGUAACAAAUGCUGAGAUACAUGUCUGAACUGAGGCAAUUCCUAAUUUUAGGAGAAGCGCUGUUAGGUGGACAGUCAGCAUCCUCAUCCUAUUGUCAAGGCAGACUGUCUCAAGUUCUACAACAAGUAGGCAUAUCUCUGCUUUCUAGACAAGACUCUACCUCAGUUCUUUUAACCACUGUGAAAUGCAUAUUAGAGGACAGAGAACAACCAAAUGAAAUUUUUUAUUAUAAUCUUUCUCAAAAAUAUAGAAAAGGAAGAACUAAUUGCCCUCAAAGACAGUGGGUGGAAAGAAAUAAUUAAGAGCUUCUGCUCUUUUCUAAAUGAAAAGGAAAAUAAACAGAAAAAAAAGUAACAAAAAAAGCAGAGACAAAGACUGAUUCUUUUAAAAGAUUAAUAUAAUUGAUAAAAAUUAGCUAGUAGUUCAAAAUAAAAAGAGGAAGUAUGCAAAUGGCCAAUAUCAGGUAAUAAAUUGCAUAUUUUGGAUCUUUUAGACAUUAGAAGAAAAGAAGAUGCCAAUAACCUAAAAUAAAUGUUAAAAAUUUUAGAUGAAGUACAUAUAUUCUUUCCAAACCACAUUUUCCCAUCUUUCCCCAAAAGGGAUGGAGGUACAUUAAAAGUCGUGGCACAGUGGAAACGAAUCUGACUAGGCCUCGCUCAGUGGGUUAAGGAUCCAGCAUUGCCAUGAGCUGUGGUAUGGGUCCCAGAUGCAGCUCAGAUCUAGCAUUGCUGUGGCUGUGGUGCAGGCUAGCAGCUGUAGCUCCAAUUCGACCACUAGCCUAGGAACCUCCAUGUACCUCUGGUGCAGCCCUAAAA
rnacentral:lncRNA from 1 species